rnacentral:rRNA from 1 species
GACGAACCGUGCGAACGUUGUUCGGAAUCACUGGGCUUAAAGGGCGCGUAGGCGGGCUCGCCAGUCUGGGGUGAAAUCCCACGGCUCAACCGUGGAAGCGCCUUGGAUACUGCGAGCCUCGAGGGAGGUAGGGGCGUGCGGAACUUCCGGUGGAGCGGUGAAAUGCGUAGAUAUCGGAAGGAACACCGGUGGCGAAAGCGGCGCGCUGGACCUCUUCUGACGCUGAGGCGCGAAAGCCAGGGGAGCAAACGGGG